rnacentral:lncRNA from 10 species
AGGAGCCUGCGCGGGACCCCAGCAUCCUGAGGCUGCCCAGGGUCGUCGGGGUCCCCGGACCCCGCGGGCGCCGCCACCGGGGCGAGCAACAGCAGCAGCGCGAGCAGCGGGGCGGUGGGGCGCGGGCCCCUGGGCCCGGACCAGGGAGCAGGCAGCCGUUGCCGGCGGGGCUGCAUGGACGCAGGAAAGUUGGCUCGGCACCCGACAGACACGGGCUCGGAGCGGGCAGUGCCGGCGCUCGCGGAAAUAAGGCCGUGGUGGGCCCCUCCCCUCCGCCCCCAGGGCGAAGAUAAUUGUGAAACACCUGUGCCAGGCCCUGGGGGAAUGAGGGUGAACAAUCUUAAACAUCUCUGCCUUCCUGGAGCACACCUUCUAGCUGGAGUUGCUGUUUCUUGCCCUCAGAGGCAAGCCUAGCACAGAUUCUUCUUCCUUGCCACAUACUGUGUGGGGGAGUGACAUUGCUAACUGUCCACCACGUUCUCCAAAAGACCUGUCAUCAUAUCCCACCCCUGGCCCAGGGCUGCUGGAAGACUGUGCCACAUAGGAGGUGAGGAAAGUAUCAGCCAGCAGGUUCUGCCCCAGCCUCUGC